rnacentral:lncRNA from 1 species
ACAACUGCAGAUGAGAUGGGGCCUCAGCAAAACGGAACUGCCAAGCACUGGUAUCAGGGACUUGGGAUGGCCUGAACCAUCGCAGCCCUGAGUCAUAUGACACAGCAGUUUUCUUCAGCCCUGCCCGUGAGGUAGGAGACUGUCAGGUUGGUUCAGGUCUGACAAGAUGUCUCUUUUCUCUAACAUUUAAACAGCUCCAACCAUCUCAGCUCCUUCAUGAUUGUUUCGUCAUCAUCACCAUCGUCACU